rnacentral:rRNA from 1 species
AGUGAACGCUGGCGGUAGGCCUAACACAUGCAAGUCGAACGGCAGCACAGUAAGAGCUUGCUCUUACGGGUGGCGAGUGGCGGACGGGUGAGGAAUACAUCGGAAUCUACUUUUUCGUGGGGGAUAACGUAGGGAAACUUACGCUAAUACCGCAUACGACCUACGGGUGAAAGCAGGGGAUCUUCGGACCUUGCGCGAUUGAAUGAGCCGAUGUCGGAUUAGCUAGUUGGCGGGGUAAAGGCCCACCAAGGCGACGAUCCGUAGCUGGUCUGAGAGGAUGAUCAGCCACCCUGGAACUGAGACACGGUCCAGACUCCUAAGGGAGGCAGCAGUGGGGAAUAUUGGACAAUGGGCGCAAGCCUGAUCCAGCCAUACCGCGUGGGUGAAGAAGGCCUUCGGGUUGUAAAGCCCUUUUGUUGGGAAAGAAAAGCAGCAGGUUAAUACCCCGCUGUUCUGACGGUACCCAAAGAAUAAGCACCGGCUAACUUCGUG